rnacentral:rRNA from 1 species
GACGAACGCUGGCGGCGUGCUUAACACAUGCAAGUCGAACGAAGGGGCGAACGGGUGAGUAACGCGUAAUCAUCCUGCCUUUCAGAGGGGGACAACAGUUGGAAACGACUGCUAAUAACGCAUACUGAAGGAGGGGUUUGCGUCUGAUUAGUUAGUUGGAGGGGUAACGGCCCAACAAGGCGAUGAUAAGUAGCCGGUCGGGGAGGAUGAAUGGGCAAAUUGGGACUGAGACACGGCCCAGACUCAUACGGGAGGCAGCAGGGGGGAAUGUUCCGAAAUGGACGAAAGGCUGACGGAGAAACGCCGCGUGAGUGAUGACGGACUUCGGGUGGUAAAGCUCUGUUAAUCGGGACACGGUACCGGAAUAGAAAGCCACGGCUAACUACGUGCCAGCAGCCGCGGUAAUAC